UACGGAGGGGGCGAGCGUUAUUCGGAAUUAUUGGGCGUAAAGGGCGCGUAGGCGGCCCGAUAAGUCAAAGGUGAAAUCCCUCGGCUCAACUGAGGAACUGCCUUUGAAACUGUCGGGCUUGAGGCCGGGAGGGGGUGGCGGAAUUCCCAGUGUAGCGGUGAAAUGCGUAGAUAUUGGGAGGAACACCAGUGGCGAAGGCGGCCACCUGGACCGGUUCUGACGCUGAUGCGCGAAAGCGUGGGUAGCAAACAGG
rnacentral:rRNA from 1 species